ensembl:lncRNA
UGAAAAGGGGUGGAGCCAGGAUCCACCCCUUCCCAGACCUCAUUUAAGGGUUGGCAGUGGAGGUAUGGGUGUCUUGCUGGAGAUUGCUGUCUGCUUGAGGCCUUCUAAGGAGAUGAGAUAGUGAAGUAGAUACCAUCCACUGAUGAUACAAGCAAAUAACUUCCCAUUCUCUUCCCUGGAAGUAGCUUCCUUCCUGAACUCCUCAUUGUAUGCAAGCGUCUUGUACAUGAAUUGGAAUGCACAUGCCAAACAGCCCUCAGAAUUAACUUCUUGAAAGAACAGUUGGCUGUCCCCAGAGGCUGAAAGGGGAAGGAAGGAUCCUUCAUCAUGAAAGGCAUGGAGGAGCACAACUCCGAGUCAAAAACAGCCUGCAGUUCCAGUGCCUCUAUUUACUGCUUUACACUGGGCUAUACUUUCCCAUUAAUGCUUUGUAUUGUCUUGACAUAAGACAUGUUCUGUGUGUGGAAGUGCGUUUUGUAUGUGACAGUUCUUAUUCCUUCCAUAGAGAUCUUUUUGAAAUUUGGAAGCAGGAUAAUUGGAAGUCUGAGUAAGAGCUUCGAGAUUGUUCUUUGGAAAAUUCAUUAGAAUAAAUCUCCUUUGUCAGUGGUUAGAAAGCAGUAACCAUGUUUCAGUUUUCUUACUCUCCAGCCCACUUGAAUGUAGAGAAGCUUUGUUGGGGACUUGCUAUUCCCACAGGCUCUUGGUGUUUCUUAAAAUACUUCAUUAUGCAGAUUUGCUGAAGGGCUUCCACCAACCAGUAUUCAGGAAUCUCUGGAUAUGUUUUUUUCUGCAACUUUGUUGCUUAAGUGAAUCUUAUAACCAUAAUCUCAUUUAAAUAGUCCUUCUGGCACUUGGCCAUGUGUCUCUGUUGCGUAUCAGUGGUAAACAGCUGAGUUGGCUGACUUUAAAAUAGAAAAACAUUGUGUUCUGGUUGGAGGUGUUAAUGAAAAGACUGUUGGUGGAAGUUAACAAUUGCAACAGUGCUGUUCCUAGAAACACAAUGUCUGUUAUUAACAAUGGCUUUAUAGGUCUGAAUGCUCCCUCUGGGAAAGAAAUAAUUGCAGUAUAUACCAGCCAGUUAAGCAAUUUCUGAAACAUGAGUUUCUGCACCUAAACUAUACAUACUGCUUAGACUUGAGAAGAAAUUCACUUAUGCUCUUCAAAUGCUGAAUAACUUACUGCAAAAGGAAACUAUUCACAUGUCCAUGGAAGAUAAGACAAAAGUAACAGGCACGAAUUGUAGUAGGGGAAGUUUAAGCUCAAAAGAAACUGCAAAAAUAGUAGAGGUGAAUAAUAGUUCCUCUUAGCUACAGUUCAUUAGUAAAGGUUAUGAAUUUGUUGUACAUACUGGAAACAUUUUUUUAGAGCACCAGUGUAUCAUUCUUAGCAAUUUAAACGUGUGACUGUAUUAAUCCACAAAGUUCUUCUGAGACAGUCCAGUGAAGAAUAUACUGCAGAAGUACUGAUAACACAUAAAUAUUCCAAAUUCUGCUUUGAUUUACAUCCCCCAAAAAUGAUUUAGUGGAAAUAUGAGUGGCUGCUCUGUCCUUAGAAACAACAUUUAUUUCAGCACAAACACAUUUAAAAUACUAUGUAAGCACUUAAGAAUAUGAAGGUGACUCAUUUUCCUCUUAAGAUAUCAUCUUGUGCCAUAGCAAAGGAGUACCUUCAAAAGAGGAACAUGCUCUAAUGAGCAUGGGGUCAGUUCAAAAAUAAACUUGAGUCAUAAUUUUAGCUUCAUAGGGUUCUGAUUUCAAAUAAUCUGAGAUUUGCUGUGUUCCCGUAUUAAAUCUAAAAACUUGAGAUGCAAGAGAAGAUUGGCCACAGGCACCUCAAUGAGUCUUGAACGCUUGGGAGAUUUCACAGUGCUUCCACAACUCCUUACAGCUAAGCAGCAUUUGCUACAUGCAUUCCCUUGAGUAACUUGUUCAAUAUUCAAAUUCUCCCUUUGGUUUUCAAGUACUGUGUAGUUCCUCCACCUCUGUGACCCACUGUAUCGGUUCCCAACCCAUGUUUUUUUUUUGUUUUGUACUUCAAUUUUCAUUGCUUUUUCAUUGUUCAAAUAGUCAGUAAGUCUCCAAGCUUUUGUUAGAUGAGAAGCUCAUUACUGGUGGGAUCAGUACCUUAUGCAGAUGAUGACUUUAGAGACUGGCGCUCAAUAAGGAAAAUGGAUGAAAUGCAAGACACCACAUUUCAGAAGAGGUUAUGAUCGUGUGGAGCAUUUGUGGCUCUACCAAGACUUCAGGAAUGCACACCCUGAUGAUCAUACCACCAAUUCUUUGCAAACGAAGCAUUAAUAUAGGAAUUCAUGAAAUGCAUGAAAAAAGCUCAUUAUUGUGACAAAAGAAUUGUAUAAAAAAAAUUGAAGAAUAUAAAUAUAGACUGAGUGUUGUGGUGGAAUAAUAGGUGUCAUUCUGGGAUGAUGAACAGCUACUCUGGGUGCUGCUUAAGAUUAGAAACAUUAGAAGAAGCUUGCAUUGUGUUCCUCAUAUCCAAGAGGAGAUCAAAGUAUAUACUUGGAUGUAAUCCAAUCAGUGAUAAAAUCAUUACAGUUCUUUUUCAAGCAAAUCCAGUCAAUAUGUCGAUCAAACAGAUUAGCACUCCUACGUUAGCAGAUGACAAAGAUGCAGCUGAUGAGUUCUAUCAGGAGUUUGAAGAGAUAUUCAUUAAAAUGAGGCAAAGCUAUCACCCAUGCAACUGGGGACCUUGCAACUGUGAAAUUUUGGCUGUCAGGUGCAUAAGCUCUCCAAAAGAAGUCAUAGGAAGUGACUACUCAUUUUGUUUUACUGAAUGAAAGAGACAUUUGGUUGAACUUUGUUGCUUUUGUGUUCAUUCCUUCUUAAUUUAAGAUCAAAACUGAAUGUCCUAGAUACUCAUACAAAUAUGUAUGACUCCUUGGCUAAGAUUCAAGUGAUACUGAAGCAUGAGCAUGCAGCAAGCAAAGAACGCUCUGAGUCAGAAUAUAAUUGUUGGCUUUAAGAACUUCAAAGGAAAGAUAUUCAACAGUCCAUUACUUCUUGACCAGAAGCAGAAAAAUCUGUGGGGUGUUUAUGCAGUAAUGUAUGGCACAGAGAGAUAGACAGUGAGCCCAAAUGGACUAUGGAAUAAAACUGCGAAGUGCAAGCUACUGGUGAACAUGUCCUGAUAAGUCAGUAUUGGGCUCUGAACAUUUGUGAACAGCAGCAAACAACCAUGAACUGUUGUUUCUUUCAUUAAACUGCACGUGACUCAGUAACAUGGCCUGCCCAGAAUUUUUCAGUAUGUAUCGAGAAUCUGCUGAAAUAGAGGCUCUAGAAUUCGCAAACUAAUAAAGAAUGGAAGGUUCCUACCCACACACCUGGGAAGAGAGCAAGGAAAGCUGUAGUCAUAGAUAACAGGCAGCAAGUGCUGGAAUGAGUGAAAAUGACCUUAAUGUGGGAGAGAAUUAAAUGCCUGUACACUGACUCAGUAACUAGAGAUAGGAUGUAAGUGAGCAUUUGCUGCUGCAGUUGAUCACUGGCUAAAGAGAAAUUCAGUUAUAUGGAAACCAUUGCAACCAGCCUCAGGGUUGUUCUAAAGGAAGUGGAGGCAGAAUUCAGCUGUAUUUUCCUGUGAAAAGAAGCAUGAGGAAAUGUGGAAAUAUUUAGAAAUGUACAAAGGCUCAACAGGUGAAAAGGUUGAUUGUUUUAUAUCCAGGCUUGUUGAAAUGAAUUGUGGGAAACAAAGCCUGAUCACAGAGAGAAUGCUGUGAUGGUGAGAACUAGAUUUCUGGCAUAUUGAGGAUAUAAAAGAAUAGAAAUGCUUGUUGGAAAUAUUAAGCAUUAAAAGCGGUCUCUUGUACAAAAUCAGCAUGAGUGACUUAGGUUAUGUUGGUGCUUAAGACAAAGAAGAGAGACUGAGAGGUUUACUAAGGAGGAAAUGGCUGUACUUUGCGCCAGCUGAGAGCAACUGGACAGUACAGAAAGAUAGGGUGUACAUGUGCUGUACACUGCAGUCUCAAAAGAUGACUAAAAAUUCAGUCAGAAAUGCUUCCAGCAAGAUCCAUUGGUUUUUUUUUCUUUUGCUGUUCUAUGAGGUUUGCCCAGCCCUGAGUUCUCUUGUGUUUUUGCGAGCUUCUCAGGUGCCUGCUGUAAAUAAUAUCUUAGAAGCAACUUUUUACAGAUGAUUCUCCUUCAAGGAAGGCAUUUGGUAAUGUAGACCAUAUAGUGUUUUGUAAGCCAAUG